GACGAACGCUGGCGGCGUGCUUAACACAUGCAAGUCGAGCGGAGCGGCGAACGGGUGAGUAACGCGUGAGUAACUGCCCCCCUCUCUGGGAUAACAGUUGGAAACGGCUGCUAAUACCGGAUAGUGGGGGAUGACUCGCGUCCUAUCAGCUUGUUGGUGGGGUAGUGGACUGCCAAGGCGACGACGGGUAGCCGGCCGGAGAGGGCGACCGGCCACAGUGGGCUGAGAUAUGGCCCAAAGUACUACGGGAGGCAGCAGUGGGGAAUAUUGCACAAGGGGGGAAACCAUGAUGAAGCAACGCCGCGUGCGGGAUGACGGACUUCGGGUUGUAAACCGCUUUCAGCCAUGAGGAGGUAGUGGAAGAAGAAGCACCGGCUAACUACGUGCCAGCAGCCGCGGUAAUAC
rnacentral:rRNA from 1 species